rfam:Brassica napus, WGS project CCCW01000000 data, contig: 18159
AUACUUACCUGGACGGGGUCGACUCUUGAUCAGCAAGACGAGUGGCCUAAGCUAGCGACCUCCACUGCACAUAACGGAGGGGUGCUUAGCUUAAGGUCUCCCCAUGUGGGAGAGUCUGCGUCAUUAUUUGUGGCAGUGGGGAUCAGCGUUCGCGCGGUCCCUGC